GACGAACGCUGGCGGCGUGCUUAACACAUGCAAGUCGAACGGAAAGAGAUGAAAGAGCUUGCUCUUUUAUUAAUUUCAGUGGCAAACGGGUGAGUAACACGUAAACAACCUGCCUUAAGGAUGGGGAUAACAGACGGAAACGACUGCUAAUACCGAAUACGUUCUAAGCAUCGCAUGAUGCAUAGAAGAAAGGGUGGCCUCUACAAGAAAGCUAUCGCCUUAAGAGGGGUUUGCGACUGAUUAGGUAGUUGGUGAGGUAACGGCUCACCAAGCCGACGAUCAGUAGCCGGUCUGAGAGGAUGAACGGCCACACUGGAACUGAGACACGGUCCAGACUCCUACGGGAGGCAGCAGUGGGGAAUCUUCCGCAAUGGACGAAAGUCUGACGGAGCAACGCCGCGUGAACGAAGAAGGUCUUCGGAUUGUAAAGUUCUGUGAUUCGGGACGAAAGGGUUUGUGGUGAAUAAUCAUAGACAUUGACGGUACCGAAAAAGCAAGCCACG
rnacentral:rRNA from 1 species